AUUGAACGCUGGCGGCAGGCCUAACACAUGCAAGUCGAACGGCAGCACAGUGCUUGCUUGUUGUUACGGGGGGGGACGGGCGGGUGAGUCCUGGGUACAUCCGAAUCUGCUUUUUCUUGGGUGCUAACGUAGGGGCUCUUACGGUAAUCGCGCAUACGACCUACGUGUGGGAGCAUGGGACCUUCCGCCCUCGCGCGAUCCAAUGAGGCGAUGUCGGAUUAGCUAGUUGGCGGGGUAAAGGCCCACCAAGGCGACGAUCCGUAGCUGGUCUGAGAGGAUGAUCAGCCACACUGGAACUGAGACACGGUCCAGACUCCUACGGGAGGCAGCAGUGGGGAAUAUUGGACAAUGGGCGCAAGCCUGAUCCAGCCAUGCCGCGUGUGUGAAGAAGGUCUUCGGGUUGUAAAGCCCUUUUGGUGGGAAAGAAAAGCAGCAGGUUAAUACCUCGCUGUUCUGACGUUACCCAAAGAAUAAGCACCGGCUAACUUCGUG
rnacentral:rRNA from 1 species